CGCAGCUAUCGCUGAAGCCAGGAGAGCAAGAGGGAUCGGUGCGCACCAAUCCCUCUUGCUCUUCUGGCUUCAGGGAUAGCCGCG